AUUUUAAUAGCUUAAUUUUAGAGAGUUUUGUAUUGAAGAUACAAAGGUGAAUAUUUUUCUUAAAAUA
rnacentral:tRNA from 2 species